UUCUUCUUGUCCUUUCUUUGUCCUUCCCUCCCUUCUUCCCUUCCCUUCCCUUCUCUUUCAAGAAAGUCUUCUGCUAUGCUGUGACCAGUGUACUUGCCGAGAUGAACAGCUGGUAACUCUAUUGGGGUCCAGGUGCCUCCUCUGUCCGCUGGGGUAACAGUGUGAGGUUUCAGGGUGGGGUCAGAAAAGGCUAAUGCUCCCAUCAAGUUUCAUGGAAGCACGUCAGUUAUAUAAAGAGCAAUGAUUGUGGUAGAUUCUGUACCAAAUAUGGAAAACAUGCUUUAAUUUUUUUUUUCAUUUCAUAAGGAUAAUAUUUGAAAUCGGCAAAGAGUGGAGGAGAUAGAUGAGCUAGGAAGUGGAGAGGGGAGGGAGAAAGACAAGAAGCAGAGACAUAAUUUAUUUCACUACUUUACCUAGAGCCAGACCUGACUCCCAGAAGUGACUUUUUCAUUAAGACAAAAGUGUUAAGUGCUCACCUAUUUUCUGUUCCUUACCAGGGGUGAGAUUAUGGCAACAUGAGUAGUUUAUUCUUUCUAAAGCCUUCAGGGUAAUUUCAAUUCCCACAAUACAGUACUUAAGCAAUGGGAAAGAAAAGCAAUCAAUGAAAAUAGAGUUUUAGUUUUAGAUUAAUAACAAAUUGGUGCCAGUCCAGUAUUAGGUCAAAAUUACUCCAGAUCUUCAGCUUUAAGAUGUAACUAGAUGUGAGAAGAUCUAUAAUUGAAACAUUUGCCACCUGGUGGUGAUCUGAAGUAUGCAGCCUUAAAUUCGGUAAGUUCUUGGUGGCCCUGGCCCUGUAGCUUAGUUUAUAAAACUAACUGGCAGUCCUGCCACCUGACUUUGCCCUCCCAACAAGGGUUCAGACAGGACUGUUUGAACCUGAGGUCGUGGCUCUAUCUGGGUGAAUCAGACCAGAAAAAGCCAAGAACUCCAACUUCUACCAUCCUCCUACAGUUGGACAGCAGCCCUCACAUUCCUCUCUGGCUUCAGCAGGCAGCUGUGCCCCUGCAGCGUCUGGCCUUUCCAGCCAGGCCUGGGGCUGAGCUGGCUUGAAACAGCCUGAGGAGUCUCCUGAGUGAUUCACCUUUUUUCUAAGGAAAACCUAACAUAUUAUUUUACAGGUUUGAGAAGACGUGGCAACCUGAGGUUUGAGCAUCAGAUCUGUAGUUGUGAUGUAUGGUAUUUUUCACGCCAAGGUGACUUUUCAAUGGGGUGGAAAGUGCUAAAGGUUUGUGGUUUGUGAUGGGAAAGAGUAAAUGUUAAUAAAUGUAUUUUCAUCUUCACGUGGGAGGAAAAACACCAAUAGGGAAGAGGAAUAAUCUCAUUCUGUUUUCUGUUUCAUUCAGCUGGUCUAUUUAAAUAAAGUACACAUGGAGGCUUCAGAAAGCUUAGAAAAAAGAAGAAACAGCACAUGAAGGAGGAGGAUGAAAAUCUAACGCCAGGAGAGCAUGCCAGGAAAGAAAACACAGACAGAGGAGGAAGAAGGGUGCCAAAGACAAUGUCUUAUUUCAGAAUUUGUCCUUCUUGACUCUGAUGAUGCUUAUUCUUCAACAUUGCAUCUUCAUUGUCCCUGGAUCAGGCCAUCCCCUCCUCCUUGGACCUGUCAAUUGAAAUCAAGAGUAAGGGAGAGCAGGGAGCAGGUAAAGUGACUGUACUUACUUUAGGUGUUAACUUUUUUUUUUAAUGCCUUUGUUUUUUUAUUACUUAGAAUUUUUAUUUUACAUUUAUUGAGACAGUCUUUUCAGAUGGAGACCUAGGUUUUGCUAUAUAAAACACAGUAUCCUCCAGACAUCAAAGCACUGGAGAUGCCAGAUUAUCUUUUAAGCUGCUGGCACUUUUUCUCCAAACUUUCAUGCUGGAGCUUCUUAGAUUUCACUGGAUGACAAGAAAAGAAGGUUUUCGUUCAAAAGCCAGGAUGGAUAGUUCUUUCUCAAAUGACAAUUGAAUUGCUUGUUGACUGAAACACCAAGGAAUUGUGUUGUUACACCAUCAGGAAUAAUAAUCCAGUUGACGUAUGCACAGCAAUGACACCCAAAAUCAGUAAAUUAGGAUUUACUAAAUACAGAAUUCUCUCUGCUACUUUUUUCCCUUUCUCAUAUGAGUCAAAUAAGAUGUGUCAGUACCUAGAGGUGUUAACUUUUAAAAUUAAAGUGAACACAGCUCUUAGAGUCAACAGGUGGUAUGUGCUAUUUCAGGAGUGAAAAUAUUAAAUAAAUAUUUCGCUUAAAAUUCAAAGGUAGGAGUUCCCUGAUGGCCUAAUGGAUUAAGGAUCUGGGUGUUAUCACUGCUGUGGCUUGGGUUCGAUCCCUGGCCUGGGAAUUUCUGCAUGCCACCAGAGUGAGCAAAAAAAAAAGAAAAAGAAAAACAAUCAAAGUCAAAGGUAAAUAUUUUGUCAACAAGUAUAAGCGUCAUUACUUAAAAUUAUGGUAGUUUUUAAUAUGCUAUAUUCUUUGGGGAGUCAAAUCAAUUAAUUUAAACCCACUGAUUUUAUUAGUGGGGAAUAGUUUAGGGAAAUGGAAAUUAACUUGAACAAAUAUGAAGGCUAAUAUAUUGGUUUCUAUUUAAUUAAACAUUAAGUUCCUUGAUGGCCUUGUCCCCACUUUCAGCAUAUGGUAAACUUCUUUACAGCAGGAGAUGCUUGUCAAAUGUGACCUGGCUGUUGUGACCAUUAGACACAGGAUGCAAUCUAACAAGCAAAAAUAGUCAGUAUUGUGAACAUUGGUCCUGUUUUUUUUUUUUUUUUUCCAUCUAGACUUUUAACUGUUUCCAAUGAUUGGGGAAUUCUCUGACCUUAUGAGUCUUGAUCAGAGGCCUCCGCUUAUAGAGGCUGACAAUGCCAGGUUCUCCUAGCCUUCCUGGCAGCUAAGGCAUGAGGAGCACAUGAUGCCACUUUCCCAUCUGCCCACCCCAAUUGAGACUGGCAGUUGCAGAAGAAUUUCCUAAGGCAUAUAUACUUGAUAUACUUUC